rnacentral:lncRNA from 1 species
UUCUGUUCAUGGAUAUCUCCUGCUAUGGGCCGUCAAUCACAGGGCAUCUCCAUGAAAGAUAACUUUCCAUACAAAUGGCUUCUUUGCUACCUUGCAGCUGUAGUGACAGUGUAAUGUCAAGGCAUUUCACAGCCUCUUUGCGAUGAAGGUAUUUUAAAUAUUCAGCUGUCCAUAUUAAUUUACGUUAUUUCAUUUUUGUUAAUAUGUAUUAGAAGCUUUUGUUCUGUAGAGAGAACAUCAUACUUAUUUUUGUUGUUCGAUUGGUUGGUAAACUAGCAAUUGCUUGCAUUAUUCCAGAUAAUGCUGCCUUUCUCUAAGCUUAAAGGCAAGCUGGGUUUUCUCAGCAGCCUUUGUUGUUUGAUACUAGUUUUAUAAUAUGACAAUUUCAACAGAAUUAUCUGAUUUUUGAAUAUUUUUUUCAUCGAAUAAAUCAUGAAUUAACUGAGGAUAUAUCGUAAUUUACUGCAGGUUUCUUAGAAACUUGAUCUUCAAUAAUAUUAUAUAUGAAUACUUCCUUCUUUAUUGCCUGAAAUUGAAUAAAGCACCCUUAUGUGUUUAUUGUGAAAACUAAGUUGAUGGUAUAGACGAGAAAGGGAAAUAUUGAUAACUAGUUGGAAUUCAAAAAGCGACAAUAUAUGAAAUUGAGUUAUAGAUAUAUCGUCGUGUUGAGAAACAUAUAAACAAAUUUUACCCUAGAAAAUUAAAACGUAAACUGAUUUAAAAUUGCAAGUAUCAUUCUACAGCAAAGGUGAUCUACAGGGCGUUCUCUUUCUUCUAUUAUAUUUUCCAGCAAGUUCAACCUUGUCGAGUUGCCUUGUAUCUCCAAUUAUCUGCAAUAUAUAUUGUGUUAUAUGUUGUUAGUUAAAAAAGUUAUUCUAACAAAGUACAUUAUCCUAAUGAAGUUGGAGUGUACUUACUUUGCAAGAAACUGAGCAAUAAUCAUAGAAUUCAUCCUUGAUUUUUCCUUCGCAUAUGACGCACUUAGGGUUUCCCCCGUUUCCUCCUUUUGGCUUCAGCAAUAUAACUUUGUGAUUGUUUAUUACAUACGGCUGAAUUUUCCUAACAUCUACCUCACUUUCUAUAUCAGCUUUUCGAACCGAUGCUUUUUCCGAUACUUUAAAUAUCUGCGCAUUAUGUUAAAAAAAAAAAUAAAUUUAUAGCAGCUCUAACAAGUGUUGUUUUGGUGAAGGAUUGAUGAUUAUGUACCUGUAAAAAUUGGUGAAGUUCAUGUUCAGCUUCUGCAUCAACCCUCCAACAUGAUUCACAAAGAGGUUUGUUUUUGCACAUUUUACAAAAAAAUGUACAAUAUUGAUUAUGUACCUCACAUAUACAAU